UGCCAGCCGCCGCGGUAAUACGGAGGGUGCAAGCGUUAUCCGGAAUCACUGGGUUUAAAGGGUGCGUAGGCGGCUAAAUAAGUCGGAGGUGAAAGCCCAUCGCUCAACGAUGGAAUUGCCCCCGAUACUGUAUAGCUUGAAUCAGGUUGAGGUUAGCGGAAUGUGACAUGUAGCGGUGAAAUGCAUAGAUAUGUCAUAGAACACCAAUUGCGAAGGCAGCUAACUGGAUCUGUAUUGACGCUGAGGCACGAAAGCGUGGGGAGCGAACAGGAUUAGAUA
rnacentral:rRNA from 1 species